rnacentral:tRNA from 1 species
CAAGAUAUGGCGCAGUCCGGUAGCGCGCCUGUUUUGGGAACAGGAGGCCGCUGGUUCGAAUCCAGCUAUCUUGA